UACGAAGGGGGCUAGCGUUGCUCGGAAUCACUGGGCGUAAAGCGCACGUAGGCGGCUUCUCAAGUCAGGGGUGAAAUCCUGGAGCUCAACUCCAGAACUGCCUUUGAUACUGAGGGGCUCGAGUCCGGGAGAGGUGAGUGGAACUGCGAGUGUAGAGGUGAAAUUCGUAGAUAUUCGCAAGAACACCAGUGGCGAAGGCGGCUCACUGGCCCGGUACUGACGCUGAGGUGCGAAAGCGUGGGGAGCAAACAGGG
rnacentral:rRNA from 1 species